rnacentral:misc_RNA from 1 species
CUGAGUGAAAACUCACCAGCCCAUUGUUUAUUUACUCUAUUUGCACUUCUCCGGCAGGCGGUUCCAGGGCGGGACCGAGCCUAUGGCACCUGCCGAAGGGGGAACUAUUGCUCUGUAUUUAUACUGUCUGAGAAAGCCAAAAAGAAUAUCA